rnacentral:tRNA from 1 species
GAAGUAGCUCAGCUUGGUAGAGCACCUGGUGUGUCUGACUACGAAUCAGAAGGUUGUAGGUUCGAGUCCUACUGGGUGCA